AGUCCCUCUGCUUUGAUUGCUGUGCCUCUUUGGUAGGGAUUUUGGAGGGGAAUCCCAGAGCGAUUUGGUUUGAAGGGGACCUUCAAAGGCCACCCCGUCUUCCGUGGGCAGGGACACCUUCCACUGUCCCCGGUUGCUCCGAGUCCCGUCCAGCCCGGCCUGGAACACUUGCAGGGAUCCAGGGGCAGCCUCGGCUUCCCUGUGCAGUGUGCUCUGAUAUCUCUCCACUGGCAUGGUGAAAAAUGUUGUCAGCGUGUUUUGUUGGACGACGGGAAGCAGGACCGGGGUGAAAAUGACAUUCUCUUAGGUGCUGGGACGAGGAGGACUCGUGCGGGCACCUCCAGAGACAGCGGGAACGGGAGCGUGCUGCGGAGAAGGAAAGUUCCAGGUGAAUUGCCACGAGAGGAAAUACUUCCGAGGGGCUUCCCUCCGGAUAAGCCCUGAAUAUGCCGGGAGGUUUCAGCCGGGAGAAAGGAGCUGUGGAAGAAAAGCAGCCUAAAAAUAGCGAGCGGGGAUCAUCAGGUUUUCCAGCCAAGAAAAACAAGGAGGGAGAUGAGGGAAUGGGGUUCCAAUUCCUGAUGAUUUGGUGGGUGUAGGAAUGCUUUCUGUGUGUUUUCCAGUCCCUUGUGAUUCCUGGGAUGAUUUUAAAAUGAUGGCUUUAGCAAUCAACUAAAUUGGAGAUGUUGUUUUUGAGAGGAAAUGAGGCCAAAUAAAUGCAGAGUUUUGGGUCA